AGAGUUUGAUCCUGGCUCAGGACUAACGCUGGCGGUGCGCCUUAGACAUGCAAGUCGUACGAGAAAGGGAUCUUCGGAUCCCGUGUACAGUGGCGGACGGGUGAGUAAUACGUGAAUAAUCUGCCUUCGGGUGGGGGAUAACCUCGGGAAACUGGGGCUAAUACCGCAUAAGUUUACGGUUUCGCAUGAGGCCGUAAGUAAAGGUGACCUCUGCUUGCAAGUUACUGCUCGAAGAUGGGUUCACGCCCCAUUAGCUAGUUGGUGAGGUAACGGCUCACCAAGGCGAAGAUGGGUAGCCGGCCUUAGAGGGUGGCCGGCCACACUGGGACUGAGACAAGGCCCAGACUCCUACGGGAGGCAGCAGUUUGGAAUUUUCCGCAAUGGGCGAAAGCCUGACGGAGCGACACCGCGUGGGGGAUGAAGGCCUUCGGGUCGUAAACCCCUGUCAGGAGGGAAGAAUGAAUUAAAGAUAAUAUCUUUAAUUUUUGACGGUACCUCCGGAGGAAGCCAUGGCUAACUCUGUGCCAGCAGCCGCGGUAAGUCAGAGAUGGCGAACGUUGUCCGGAAUUACUGGGUGUAAAGCGCUGGUAGGCGGUGGCGCAAGUCAAGUGUGAAAUCCAGUGGCUCAACCAUUGGACUGCACUUGAAA
rnacentral:rRNA from 1 species